CAUUCCUACAUAUCCCCCACAAGUACCAGCUACUAAAUAGACUUCCACAACAAUAUUAUUGUCCUAAACUCUUCCAAAUUCUUAAACCUUAAACACUAAUCUCCUCUUUGCUUAAACAAGAAAUUAAGGGAUCAUCAUGCAAGAGGACAAGAAGAUGAAGGUGAAGAAAGGAUGGCUUGCAGUUCAAGUGGGUUUAGAGGAUGAAGAUGGUGAGUUUCAACGUUUUGUGAUUCCCAUAUCUUUCCUCUACCACCCUUUGUUCAAGAGGCUUCUGGAAAAAGCUCAUGAGGUUUAUGGGUACCAUACCACAGGCCCUCUUAGGCUACCAUGUUCAGUGGAUGAUUUUCUUCACCUCAGGUGGAGGAUUGAGAAAGAGUCCAACAAUCAUCACCAUCAUCACAACCACCAUCAUCCCCACCUUCCUGGUGCUUUGUCCUUCCACUCUUGUUGAUCAUCUAAGUAGAUAUAUUAUGUGACACACCAAAACCAAAGCUUUCCUUUAUUAGAGAAAGACUUUCACUUAGUAGCCUGGGGAAACCAAAAUAAAGAAGUUUAGAGAGGCUUUUUUUGUUUAUUAAUGGCCCUUAAUUUUCUCUGUACUUUUGGGUUUUUCUUUUCUGACUUAAUAUAUAUCCGGGGAAAAUGUUUUAAUUUGCAUGUAAUGACAAAAGGGAAAUUGAAGAAGUAGAUGUUGUCAAACAUGUCAUCUCUAUUUUGAUGAUGAAUGAAGUAAAGUUUAUAGAUGGACAUUAGGCGCAGAGCAUAAGGCCUAAAUUCAUCACUAUUUGAUGGUUGUGUUGCUUCUAUUAUCUGGCACAGAAAAGAAGACGCUACUGUAAUGAUAGAAAAUGUCAAAUACGAGUGUCAGCCAGCACACCCACGAAGUGAAAAAGAUGAACGUGUGUGGUGGCCUUCUCUGUGGCCAUUAUAAGAUUAACUAUUCAACGUAUAAAUCCCUACUUUUGCCAUCAUCCA